AAAAUAAAGAUAAUUUAAUUAUUAAGGAUUUUAAUUUUUUAUUUAAAUAUAAAUUUUAUUGAAUAAAAUAAUAAAUUACAUUAUAUAUUAUAUAAGAUAUAUAUGGUAAAAAUAUAAAACUUUAAGGAUUUUAAUUUUAUUAAUUGAAAAUAAAGCUAAUUUAAUUAUUGGAAAUAUAAAAUUUACUAAAACCAAUCUGAUUAUGAGUUGUAAAUCAAAAUAUAAAAUUAGAUAGAUAAGUGGAAGGGUGAAAGAAAGAGAGAAAGAGAGAAAAAGAAUAUCAAUGAUAUAUGAUUCUAAUAUGUAAGGUCUAUGAGUCAUCACAUAAAAAUUAUAAAAAUUAAUGUAAUAAAGCAGCAAUACCAAUUGAUUUAUAAUUAAACUAAUCUGUUCAUAAAAAAAAAAAAAAUCAAGAGCCUCGAGUUAAUAAAGACUAAGCAGAUUGACGCAAAGACAAGCUUCAUUAGAGGCUCCAUUGUAAAAUUAAGACCUAAGCAUUAAUGAAGAAGCGAUGGGAACGACGGAACCUAUAAUAUUUUAUUGAUUUAUUGAAAAAAAAAUCAUAAUAAUAUUGCUUUUGGCGGGGUAGAGCGAAAGGUACCAGAAGACUAAUUUAGUUAGAGAUCAUACCCAGACUAUCUCUACAAAUGAAAUAAAUAUUGAAAGAGUCAAUAUUCGCGCGCGAAGUUUUUUUUAUAUUCUAAAGUAGAAUUUUUUCUAUUAGAAUUAUGAUAUCAGAAUUAUGAUAUCAGAUUGCUCAAAUUUAGAA
rnacentral:lncRNA from 1 species